UUAUACAAUUGAUGUUAUUUAAUGUAAUUGGAUGAUGAAGUUAAAUUUAUUUAUGAAUUUAUUAAUUAUGUUUUUAGGUGAAAUUUAAAUGUUAUGUAAUUUUAUCAUAUAUUCUUUUAAAGUUGAAUUUUAAACUAGGAUUAGAUACCCUAUUAUUUUAUCUGUAAAAUAUUCCCGGGGUAGUAGUAGAUAUUUUCUUGAAACCCAAAGGAUUUGGCGGUGUUUUAGUCUAUUUAGAGGAACCUGCCCCUUAAUCGAUAGUCCUCGUUUUAUCUUUCUUUAUAUUGAUUUCAGUAUGUAUACCUCCGUUAUAAGUUUAUUCUUUUAGGUUAUUUACUAUAAAUUUUAUUAAAUUUUAUUUCA
rnacentral:rRNA from 1 species